GUACAAGAGUCUCAAAAGCUUAUGCACAAACAGUGCCAACAACUGGUCAAACCAACAAAGCUUACAAAUGAGAACAAGAAAGAUGAAAAUACCCUAAAAAUUUUGAUUCAGUGCGAGACAGAUAUCUCUCUGUUCAUACCUCCUUUUGACAAUCUGAACAAUGAAAAGGAAGACCUAUUGUUGCAAACUUGCUCUCCAAGAACCAGCCCGAUCCAACCAUUAACGAAUCCGCAAUCAUUGCGUUUUACUAAGAAAGACAUGAGAAAUUCUGGGUUGACUUUUACUCUUCUUUUCUCUUUUUUGGUGGCUACUUUUCUCACAUAAAAACUUUGUUCUCAACCCUAAUAUGACAUCUCUCCACUUAUAUAAGUGAGACAUAAUAGGCUAACAUGUUUAGGCUUUUCUCCAUGCAGCAAGUAGCCCAAAACCCAACAAAUAUGCCAUGAGCAAAUGAUCCUGAAAACAAUGAAACACUCUUGUCAGGCCAAAAACUCUUGAGAAAAUGCGUUCUUAAACACAGAACAUAGCAAGCUGUUCUUACGGCCAAGAUAACUAUUUUCAUAAUUGUUGAACAGAAUAAAAGCCCCUACAAUCUAUUAAACUUAUUCAAUGAUCAUAGUAGUCUACUACAACAAAACCCCAAAACAUCAUCAAUGUAUUUGUAGUUGUCAUCAAUCAAGGUCAAUAUAUGUGCCAUUGAUGCUUCCAUCGCUUCUAAAUCAGAUGGGAUUUUGUCAACAGUGGUCAAAUUCAGAUUAUCAACUAUAAAUGCAAGAAGUAAAUACACAAUUAGGAUUUCAAUCAUUCAAGUCAAAGAACAUUCUUGUUCCAUUAUAGGAAACUCAAAGCAACAAACAAAUUAUAUAGUGAUACAACACUGAUGGUACUUGGAGGCUUUCUUCCAUGAAAAAAUGAUACAUAAAUAUAAAUCAGUUAGUAAACAAUAUCGAUAUGAUAUUUAGAUGCAAUCUGUUCGGCAUGAACUAAGCCACUCUCUCAACUAAGAGGCAUUGUUCUGUAGACCCAAAGACACUUCUAUAAAGGAAGAAAAUUAUUAACUCAGAGAACACAAAAUGCAGUUAUGAAAUCAUCCUUAAAAUAGAGAAAUGAUAUUUGUAACAUCAUUUUGGAACAACUUUUAGAUAAUUCUCUCUCAUACACUCGUUGUGUUCUUACCCUCUUCCUCUCUAUUGUUUUUAUCCCAAAAAUUGUAACAAAAUGGUUGCACGAGUAUCUCAAAACCUCUUUUAAAGAGACCAGAUGUCAUACUCUUAAACCAUUUAGGGGAAAAACACCUAAUUUCUAAAGCAACAUUUAUCUGAAGAAAUAUCCUAAAAUAUGUGGGAGCUAUAUUCCAUCCAAAUGUACCAUAUUGCAGCAAACUCGGCUUCUUGACAUAAGAAAUUGGAUACCUUCCAAAGGCAAUUAAACAAGUCAUAAAAAAUGGUCCAAAGACCUGGGACAAACCCAAACAUGUUACUCGGGAUCAUCUUGAUGAUCUCAGCCAUCAAAGUUAAGACUGCAGAUGAUCUAAGUCUUAUCACUCACAAGAAAAUAAACCUCCAGGUUUUCAGGGAAUCAUCAUUUGGUACGGGAUAAGGCAAUAUCAUGCAGGUUUUCCCAAAUACCCGGACACAGUUUUGGUUAUGGUCAAGGAGCAAACAUUCUAUGUGGUUAAGAAAAAAGAUAGAACAAUUAUACUUAGCAGCCAUUUCCAUUAAAAAAACUACUUAGGGAAAGAAAGAGUUGUUUAGGAUGAAAGUGAGAGUUCAGAUCUAGAAUAUAUUAUGCCGAAAUUGUUAUGGUUUAAUCCUAACUUUCAACAUGUUGCCUAGUGUAAAUGUUCAAUCUGAUCAGACAUGGAAUUUCAUUUCCUGAAUACAUUUACAAGUUCCAAAUUGAGUGAGGGUUGUAACUGGAUCAAUAUCAGAACGUUCAAAUCAAGUUGGAUAUUUAUUUCCUAUUCAAGAGCAAGUAGUUGGAUCUUUAUCCCCAUCUCUUAGCCUUGGUCUAUUUGAAAUUGUUGUCAUGGGUAGAAAUGAUGAUGGUUAUCAAGUUGAUUUUGAUACACAAAGUUGGGUCGAGGAUACGGUAAUUGGAUAUA
rnacentral:lncRNA from 1 species